GACGAACGCUGGCGGCGUGCCUAAUACAUGCAAGUCGAACGGUCUGUUCUAUGGAAGCUUGCUUCCACUGAGAAGAUAGUGGCGAACGGGUGAGUAACACGUGGGUAACCUGCCCAUAAGAGGGGGAUAACAUCUGGAAACGGGUGCUAAUACCGCAUAGGUUUCUUGGUCGCAUGAUCGAGAAAGGAAAGACGGCCUUUGUGCUGUCGCUUAUGGAUGGACCCGCGGCGUAUUAGUUAGUUGGUGAGGUAACGGCUCACCAAGACGAUGAUACGUAGCCGACCGGAGAGGGUGAUCGGCCACAUUGGGACUGAGACACGGCCCAAACUCCUACGGGAGGCAGCAGUAGGGAAUCUUCCGCAAUGGACGAAAGUCUGACGGAGCAACGCCGCGUGAGUGAAGAAGGUUUUCGGAUCGUAAAACUCUGUUGUCAGAGAAGAACAAGUCGGAGAGUAACUGCUCCGGCCUUGACGGUAUCUGACCAGAAAGCCACGGCUAACUACGUGCCAGCCGCCGCCGUAAGAC
rnacentral:rRNA from 1 species